CUUAAUCAUGUCCUAAACAUGUGACUUAAUAUUGAACGAGGGAUUUGUUAAAAGGCGGUGAUUAAGAUUUCAUACUUUGGCAUGAACAUAUAAAUAUCGAAUGUAAGUGUUUCAUGCUUUGGCAUGAUCAUGCACAUAUCAUACAUCACAUAUAUAAUAUAAGAUAAGCAUGCCAAACUAUUAUGGAUGAUUAUGGACUUUCUAAACUAGUUAUCUCGAGCCAUCAAUGAUAAUUAGAUGGUCAAAACAUAGGUAUUGCCUUCAUGAUCUUCAAGUCUUGAAGCAAUAUCCCCUUCAUCUCCUUUUGGUGCCACAUCUCCAUUCGAAUUACAAAAUAAAAUUCUAUCUAACUAAUCUAAAACUAUAUAUAAAAUUUAAAUAAGAUUUAAAGAACCCUUGAGUUGCAUUCAAGGGGAGUUAGAUGAGCAAAGAAUUUUACAACCUAGAGAAAUUUAGAGAAAGGCAAGGAACGCAGUCCUUAUUUUAAAAACACUAAAUCAAAAUAUUCAACCAUUCAACAAAUCACAUCAGUCUUUAUAGCCCACAACCAUCCAUCAUGCCGAAUAUAAUCAUAUUAUAUACAACAUAUAAAAGAAUCAAGAUAGCAUAAUUCAAGUUAUUUAAUCAUUGCAUGCAAUUAGGACUAAAUGGAGUAUGAAAAAUUAAAAUAAUUAAAUCAUAUUCAAAAAAAAUUCCUCAUAUUUUAGAAUGUAAUUUUUAGCUAAAAUAAAAAAAAAGAUUAGGACAUAAAGUCAACCUUUGACCAAACAAACUUUUUCUAAUCCUAGUCAUACUAGAAAACCAAGAUUAAUCUUAGUUGAAGAAUGUUAUAGAAAAUUAAAUUAAUUAAAUCAGAUUUAAUUAAUGGCUAUUUCCCUUUAAAAUAUCCUUAAUUUAGUUUUAUGUCCUUUUAAGACACAAAGUCAAACGUUAAGAUAUAAAAUCAAAUUUAUGUCUUAGUUAAGAUAGACAAUUUAGUCAUACUACGACACUAAGGCAUAAGUCAUAAGUUAAUAAAAAUUAAUGAGAAAUUCUAUUUAAUUAAAUUAAAUUUAAAAAUAAAAUACCCCUUUAAUUCCUUAAAUUUUUGGCAAUGUUUAAAUUUUAGGACAAAAGUCAAACUCUUCUUAAUCUAGACAACUUCCUAAUCCAAAAGUCUUUAUCCUAAAGGAUUUAUAAUAAUUUUAUUAAUUAAAACAACUUUUUAAUUAGUCUCCUAAUCAUAUCAGGAUAAGUAAUUAUAAUCCUAAUACAACUAGGAUAUGUCUUAAGACAAGGAGUCACACACCAACUAGGAUACUUCAUCUAGAAAUCCCUACAAACAAGGACAUUCCUUAUUUAACC
rnacentral:lncRNA from 1 species